rnacentral:rRNA from 1 species
GGUUUCACGAAGAAAUUUCUGUCUCAUUUUUCUUAUUUGAACUUCAUUGAGUUGUGCAAAAGCAACUUUAACCUUGAAAGACGAUCAGACCCUGUAAAGCUUCAUACUAACCUUAGAAUAAAAGUAAGCGUGAUACUGAAUCCAAGUACGUUUUUUGUUGGGAUGACAAAGAGCAAAAAAUCAACUCUCUUUUAAUUAAAUAGUUAUCACUAAAAUUUAGAUCCUAGUUGAUAGAUCAAAAGACUAAGUUACUUCAGGGAUAACAGCGUUAUUUCUUUAAAGAGUUCUUAUCGAUAAAGAAGUUUGCGACCUCGAUGUUGGAUCAAAGUUUCUUCAAGGUGUAACAGCUUUGAAAGAAAGUCUGUUCGACUUUUAAAUCUUUACGUGAUCUGAGU